rnacentral:tRNA from 1 species
GACGGUCGCAGCCGAUGGCCUGUCUAGCCCCUGCACAUCCUUGACACGGAAGAGGUCACUGGUUCGAACCCAGUAUCGUCCA